GGAGGACGACAUCGUCACUUUUGUGAAGAACGAGCUGCAGAAGUUCCAGAAGGUUCUGAGUCAAGAUUACCCAGAAUGCUUAGAGUGGGAGGAUGAGGAGGUGUUGGAUGGUGAGGAUGAAGAGCAGAGGAGGAGAAGCAGAGAAGCAUUUCUGAAGAUCACACAGCACUUCCUGAGGAGAAUGAAUCAGGAGGAGCUGGCUGACCGUCUGCAGAGCAGAAUCCUGCUGAGUGGGUAAACUUAAACAGAAAUCUAACCUGAAGAAG